AGAGUUUGAUCCUGGCUCAGAAUGAACGCUGGCGGCGUGCUUAACACAUGCAAGUCGAACGAGAACGGGACUGCUUGCAGUCCUUAGUAGAGUGGCGCACGGGUGAGUAACGCGUGGAUAAUCUACCUUCGGAAUAGGGAUAACAUGGCGAAAGCCGUGCUAAUACCUAAUGAAAUUGUAUAGACUUAGGRRUAUGCAAUGAAAGGUUGCAGUAGUGAUAUUGCAAUUGUUUGAAGAUGAGUCCGCGUACCAUUAGCUAGUUGGUAGGGUAAGGGCCUACCAAGGCGACGAUGGUUAGCUGGUCUGAGAGGAUGAUCAGCCACACUGGAACUGGGACACGGUCCAGACUCCUACGGGAGGCAGCAGUGAGGAAUUUUGCGCAAUGGGGGCAACCCUGACGCAGCAACGCCGCGUGAGUGAUGAAGGCCUUUGGGUCGUAAAGCUCUGUCGAUGGGGAAGAAGUUAUAUUACAUGAAUAGUGUAGUAUAUUGACGGUACCCGAGAAGGAAGCACCGGCUAACUCCGUGCCAGCAGCCGCGGUAAUACGGGGGGUGCAAGCGUUAUUCGGAUUUAUUGGGCGUAAAGGGCGCGUAGGCGGUAUAUUAGGUCAGAUGUGAAAGCCCGGGGCUUAACCCCGGAAGUGCAUUUGAAACCGGUAUACUUGAGUAUGGGAGAGGGAAGUGGAAUUCCUGGUGUAGAGGUGAAAUUCGUAGAUAUCAGGAGGAACACCGGUGGCGAAGGCGACUUCCUGGCCCAAUACUGACGCUGAGGCGCGAAGGCGUGGGGAGCAAACAGGAUUAGAUACCCUGGUAGUCC
rnacentral:rRNA from 1 species